rnacentral:rRNA from 1 species
AUUGAACGCUGGCGGCAGGCCUAACACAUGCAAGUCGAGCGGAUGAAGGGAGCUUGCUCCUGGAUUCAGCGGCGGACGGGUGAGUAAUGCCUAGGAAUCUGCCUGGUGGUGGGGGAUAACGUCCGGAAACGGGCGCUAAUACCGCAUACGUCCUGAGGGAGAAAGUGGGGGAUCUUCGGACCUCACGCUAUCAGAUGAGCCUAGGUCGGAUUAGCUAGUUGGUGGGGUAAAGGCCUACCAAGGCGACGAUCCGUAACUGGUCUGAGAGGAUGAGCAGUCACACUGGAACGGAGACACGGUCCAGACUCCUACGGGAGGCAGCAGUGGGGAAUAUUGGACGAUGGGCGAAAGCCUGAUCCAGCCAUGCCGCGUGUGUGAAGAAGGUCUUCGGAGUGUAAAGCACUUUAAGUUGGGAGGAAGGGCAGUAAGUUAAUACCUUGCUGUUUUGACGUUACCAACAGAAUAAGCACCGGCUAACUUCGUG